rnacentral:rRNA from 1 species
GACGAACGCUGGCGGCGUGCUUAACACAUGCAAGUCGAACGGAAAGGCCCUGCUUGCAGGGUGCUCGAGUGGCGAACGGGUGAGUAACACGUGGGUGAUCUGCCCCUUACUUUGGGAUAAGCCUGGGAAACUGGGUCUAAUACUGGAUAGGACCAUGCUGUAGGUGGUGUGGUGGAAAGAUUAGUUUCGGUAAGGGAUGAGCUCGCGGCCUAUCAGCUUGUUGGUGGGGUAAUGGCCUACCAAGGCGUCGACGGGUAGCCGGCCUGAGAGGGUGGACGGCCACAUUGGGACUGAGAUACGGCCCAGACUCCUACGGGAGGCAGCAGUGGGGAAUAUUGCACAAUGGGCGCAAGACUGAUGCAGCGACGCCGCGUGGGGGAUGACGGCCUUCGGGUUGUAAACUCCUUUCAGCCAUGACGAAGCCCUUGUGGUGACGGUAGUGGUAGAAGAAGCACCGGCUAACUACGUG